rnacentral:sRNA from 1 species
UUUGGAUUGAAAAAAAC